UUGGAUGGAUGCUUGCAUGCAGUGGGUUUGUAUCACAGAUGAAAAACACUGGGCCUUGAAAAUCUACCAUUUUACAGCAAGCAGGAAGUAAACCUACUCUUUGUCUCCAAAAGAGAUGUGACCUUGUUUCUCAAAACUGCUCACUGAAGACAACUCUGGGAAAUGGUUCAGUGGAGAGCGGUCAGAGCUUUGAACCUUUGCCUUGCCCAGAUAGGAGGUUUCAAAGGGACUCAGGGCCUCUGGCUGAUUGCCUCUCCCAAAGAUCCCAAGACAGGUGAUCAUAGGCCUAAAAGAGUUGUAAUCCUUGCCCAAAUUCAUAUAGCUGAAGAAGAGAGGCUGGACCCAGCCUAGGGAUGUCCCCAACCUCGUAUUUUUCUGACUGCACACUGCUGUCCUGCCCUCUCUGCAGAGAUUUUUAAAAGAUGCUGGAAGAGGGUAUCAAAGGACAUUCAGUACGACAAUGGAACAAACAUCU